rnacentral:rRNA from 1 species
UACGGAGGGAGCUAGCGUUGUUCGGAAUUACUGGGCGUAAAGCGCGUGUAGGCGGCUUUGUAAGUUAGAGGUGAAAGCCCGGGGCUCAACCCCGGAAUUGCCUUUAAGACUGCAUCGCUUGAAUCCGGGAGAGGUGAGUGGAAUUCCGAGUGUAGAGGUGAAAUUCGUAGAUAUUCGGAAGAACACCAGUGGCGAAGGCGGCUCACUGGACCGGCAUUGACGCUGAGGUGCGAAAGCGUGGGGAGCAAACAGG